rnacentral:rRNA from 4 species
AGUCAUAUGCUUGUCUCAAAGAUUAAGCCAUGCAUGUCUAAGUACAAGCUGUGUUCACACGGCGAGACCGCGGACGGCUCAUUAAAUCAGUCGUGGUCCAAAUGGGCCAGUGCUUAUCUUACUCGGAUAACUGUGGUAAUUCCAGAGCUAAUACGUGCAACUCAUACCCCGAUUGCCUCUCUCUUGUAGGGAGUGUCUUGACGGGUGCUUUUAUUAGACCAAACCGCUGAGGGCGUGCGCCUCUCGGGGCCACGUCUGACUCGUUUAAUGGUGACUCUGGAUAACCUGCUUUGACAAGCGCACGUACCCCUCUUUUGAGUGGGACGGCGCUGCCACUUUCGAGUGUCUGCCUUAUCAGCUAUCAACCGUUCGUUACGUGCGACCGAUGGCUUUGACGGGUAACGGGGAAUCAGGGUUCGAUUCCGGAGAGGCAGCCUGAGAGACGGCUACCACGUCCAAGGACGGCAGCAGGCGCGCAAAUUACCCAAUCCCAGCAACUGGGGGAGGUAGUGACGAAAUCUAACGAUGCGGGCGCCCUUUCUAGGGCCCCGCAAUCGGAAUGAGCACUUUCUAAACAACCUGUUGAGAACCUACUGAAGGGCAAGUCUGG